rnacentral:rRNA from 1 species
CUCCUGGAAACGGGUGGUAAUGCCGGAUGCUCCGACUCCUCGCAUGGGGUGUCGGGAAAGAUUUCAUCGGUAUGGGAUGGGGUCGCGUCCUAUCAGGUAGUCGGCGGGGUAACGGCCCACCGAGCCUACGACGGGUAGCCGGCCUGAGAGGGCGACCGGCCACAUUGGGACUGAGAUACGGCCCAGACUCCUACGGGAGGCAGCAGUGGGGAAUAUUGCACAAUGGGCGCAAGCCUGAUGCAGCGACGCCGCGUGCGGGAUGACGGCCUUCGGGUUGUAAACCGCUUUUGAUCGGGAGCAAGCCUUCGGGUGAGUGUACCUUUCGAAUAAGCACCGGCUAACUACGUGCCAGCAGCCGCGGUAAUACGUAGGGUGCAAGCGUUAUCCGGAAUUAUUGGGCGUAAAGGGCUCGUAGGCGGUUCGUCGCGUCCGGUGUGAAAGUCCAUCGCUUAACGGUGGAUCUGCGCCGGGUACGGGCGGGCUGGAGUGCGGUAGGGGAGACUGGAAUUCCCGGUGUAACGGUGGAAUGUGUAGAUAUCGG